rnacentral:lncRNA from 1 species
AGGUCUCCCACUAGCCGCGGCCACUGCGGUGCCCAAGCCGCGCUCCUCGGGGUCGCCCGGGAUGUCCCUCUUCUCUGGGUCCCCUGCCGGCUGGCGUUUGGCCGCCCGCCCUCACCCCUCCUCCUUCUUCUUCUCCCCUCCGGGCAUUCCGACGAAAAGCAGCAGUUCCUGACUCCCUCUCUCCCUCCGGCUCCAUCUAGGAAACCAAUUUUAGGAACGUUGAGUGCCAGACCCUUCCUAAAAUCCCUGGUUUGCCAAAGUCUCAACGAGAGAACGGAUACUUAGUAUUUCUAGAAGGCAUUUCCACCCCGAGGACUGCAAGUGUUCUCACGUUCUUUGCGUUCAUCAUGACCUCCAAGUGUCCCACUGGAGCUGUCAUUCCCGUAGUUCCAAAGAGAAUACUCGAGCGCGGAGCGAUUCCAUUGCAUUUCCUUCCAGUAGCCAGGUUUUGACCACUUACUGAAGAGUAGACACCAGCCCCGCGGCAGCGCUCUCUGCUGCAAAAAGCUGUCUACGGAGCAAGACGGAAGGAAACAGUUACAGAAAAUAAAAAUUUGAUAACGACAUGCGACUCGGUUGCUGAGAGGACAGAGAAAGUGACUUAUUUUUGCAUCUCAGGCACUUUGUAGAGGGCCUUUAGCACAAAGAACUCCCGGCUCUUCCAGAUGUUAAACUCCCUGAAUAGAAGGACAGCGUCUUCUUUUUCGUUAUCCAUCAUGUCAGCUCUCCUUUAGCGCCUGCUGGGGUAGGGUGGAGUGGUGGGGGCGGGGCUGGCACCCAACAAGUGCACCAUAAAUAUCUGUUGGCUGGAUACAUGAACAAAUGGAAUUAAAUAAAUUGGCCUAAUUCUGUUACCCAGACUGGCCCCCGUGACUCUAGACUUCUAGCCUGAGACAGAGUCUUGCUAUGCUGCCCAGGCUGGACUCGAACUUCUAGACUCGAGCAAUUCUCAUGCCUCAGCCUCCCAAGUGGCUGAGACUAUAGGCAUGCCACCACACCCAGCUCUUUUGAUGUAAUUUU